GGGAGCCCCGCGCCGGGCAGGGCGGGACGCCCCCGGCUCCUGCCCAGCAGCCAUUAGGCGUUCGGAGGAGAAAUCUUCGUUUCUUUCUUCUGCGAAUGUUGGUAUCGCACUGCCUGGGAGGAAGCUCUGUAACAUUUUUCAUUAGAUAUUAAAAAAAAAAAAAAAAGAAAAAAGGGGGGGGGGGAAAAAAGCGAUAUUAUUUUGAGUUCCGAUGGGUUGUUUUGUUAUUGUAUGAGCACGGUUAGAGAUGUUGGCUGCCGGAGUUUGACAGAGUUUACUUUUUGGUUGUUUUGUUUUAAAUUGGUUGAAUAUCUUAGCAGACUUUUAUUCCAUAGCUGGAGGUUGAUAAGAGCUCAGCCCCUCCCCGCUCCUGUGCUAGUUGGGGUUGAUUUUGGUUUUGUCUUUUUACAAACCCAACCAUAUUUAUAUGGUUUAUAACAUGCCAAUAGCAAGGCAACACCCCUGAAACCAGCUUCAACUCAGCCAUUAAUUCACAUACCCUCUGAAGAGCCAGCUCCCAAACGGUUGUGUUGAAAAUACCCUUUCCCUUCACAACAUAUAUUUUCUCAUUUGCUUCUCGAUUUUUUUCCUUGGGCUCGGGAGCAAACCAGUGCUGAGCACAUUGGGGUUUUCUUCCCAUUCCUUGGGCUGCUGAGCCCACGAAUUGCAGAGCUGGGGGCCGCCCCACCUCCCCUCCUGCACCCCAACCUCCUCCCUGCGUCCUUCUGUCCUUUCUCAUCUGCCCUGAAAUGAGCUCUGCUCAGUCCUCUGUGCUCCUCACAAAGCCAUUCCCCAGAGCUGCUCGCCUUGCGCUGUGCGUUACCUUAACGCGUGGCUCAUGGCUUUAGGUAGAAAAACGUGGGGAACUUUGAUUAGGGGAGAUGUGUUUGGAUGGUAUUGUCAGUGCAAAAUGGCUGCACAGCCAUGCGAGGGGAGGAAAUGCCUCUUUUUUUUCUUCUUCUUUUCUUUGUUGUUUUUUUUCCCCCCAAGUUAUGGGUUUCUGACAAUUAAUUAGCUAAUGAAGUUUGACCUUUUUUUUUUUGUUGUUCCCUUUAUGGGAACAAAACGCAACACUUUAUGGUUACUGCAGAAAAAUAAAAUAAAAUCAAAUAAAAUUGAAUAAAAUUAAAUUAAAUAAAAUUAAAAAAAAAAAAAAAGAAAAUGGGAGCAGCUAAAACUUGUACAAAAAGAAGCCUUGGAAUAGGAGUAGAGAAAUGAGCAUAACCCAGCAGUGCUGGGCAUCCCCAAAGGUUCAACCUGGGGAAACGAAGGGCAGCCCCAGUGCAGCCAGCCAGCCCCGCUCUCCGCUCAUCCAUUCCCAUUUCGAGGCCCCAUUUGCAUCUCAAUGGGGCGAUCCCCGAUGCCACGGGGGCACAGAAAUGUAUCCCAAACUAAGAAGCACUUUCUACCAACUUCAGCCCCAAGUUUUCCUACAGGAAAUAUUUUUUGGGUUCACAGCAGAUCUUUUCUUUUUUUUCUUCAUUAUUAUUAUUGUUGUUAUUAUUAUUAUUAUUUUAUUUUUGGUAGCAGCGAACAGUUUUGCUGCGCUCUUAAAUGUUUUUCACAUCUUGCUUAAACCAAACUUUGCAAAUCCAACAGGGAAACGGGAGGGAAAUGCCAUAUUUAGGUGCAGUGUGAGGCUGUUCGCCGUGAGCGCCUUGCAGGGCAUUGUGUGAGCGGAUCAGGGCUUGUGGCAGUGGGGCACAGUGCUGUGAUGGGGUCACGGGGCCAGGGGAAAAAUGCAGCUUUCUUGCAUCAGAGCCAUGAUAACCCCCCGCCCAUACAUACACAUCCACCCAAGCGUUCUGAUAGGCAGUGGUUGGAGGCAAGGCUCCCAUCCGCCUUCCUGGCCACAACGUAGCAACGUAAGAACAGAGGCAAGUUGUGCCACCAGCAAAAUGCCAACAUUUGUUUGGUUUUGCUCUUUGGGUGAAAAAAAAAAUAGAAUUAUCUGCAAUAUUCUAUUUCCUGCAUUGGAUCCAAGGAAAUUAUGGAGUGUUUCGUGCCUCCUUCCUUCAGCUUUGUUUGAGCUUCUGGUGCCAAUAAGGCUGAAUCCCAGCACCGAACCCAGGCGCGGUCCGAGUCAAAACAGCAGCAGAGUUUCUUCUCAAAACAAAAAAACCCAAACGCUGGUUCCGAUGGUGACGAAAUGCAGCCUUAAUCAAAACGGGUACUGAAGCUGUUGAGUGAAACCAUGAAAUUCCAGAAAUUCUGCUUAAAUUUCCCUCGGCGCCUGCAAGAUAACGAAAAUACGGAACUUUGUCUCUUCACGUAAAAAUAAAAACAAAAUAACACUAAAACAAUCGGAGACGUAUUUGUAGGCAAUGGUUAAGUGAAGAUGCCUCCUGUCAGUGGCUCAGUCUAACUGUGUGAUGCAAUAUGCCAUAUUCCCAGCCCAAACUUCUCAUUUCAAUGGCAGCCGUCGCGUUGUUCCGAGCUGGCCCGGCCAUUGAAAGGUUCCACCCAGCUCUGCCAAGCUGAGGGCAGCGAGACUCAGCCGGGGGCUGCAAUGGGGACCCUGGGGUCCUCUGUGGGGCUCUGGGGGAGAUCCAUCCCUCAGUGGGUCAGCGUUUGAGGUUUCCACCUUUGCCCCGUCCCAUAGGGGCUGCUCGCAGGUGCGUGGCCACGCGCCGGGUGCCAAAGUCCGGCUGUCCCAAUCGUUGGGAAAGAGGGAGCAGCCCAUGUUUCCCCCUGGAACGCUCUGUUCCUGCCCCACGCUGCCUUCACGCAGCUCAGGAGCUCUUCUGAACAGGAAAAAAAACCUACAACAAAUGUUGCAGUUGAUUCUUUCUAUUUUCAUACAAAAUACUGGGUCCUUUUCUUUCUUUCUUUCUUUCUUUCUUUCUUUCUUUCUUUCUUUCUUUCUUUCUU
ensembl:lncRNA